UCUGUUUGGAGGUCUGUGGUUAAACCCUUUGCCUCUCUCGCUUAUCAGCUUAAACUAUUGACAGCCAUUUUCACUGCACACACCAAAUAGGAUUAACAGUCUAGAGAGGAAAGAGGCGGCCGACUACACAGACGCACCAACAGUUCCUUUCUCUCCCACUGCCAUAAUACAUCUAUUCAGAAACAUGAAUAACGUGCUGUUAUCAGAGUCCUUUUCAUAUCUGUCGCGGGCACAGGCACACUUGAAAACUCUGGAGUCGAGAACUGCUGGCGGUUUAUUUUGGAGGACUGGAAUAGAAGGCAGUAACCCCAUCUUGUAAGCAGUUGAAUGUUUGCGAUCGCACUUAAUAGCUGACUAAUCGGAUGACAAAACCUGAGCAAAUAUCAUUUAUUUGAGUCAAUCGUUUGGGAUGAAGAGUCUCCUCUCUGAAAUGAUUGGCUGAAAGGGACUUUUAAAUGGGAAGUGAUGGAUUCUGACAAGGCCGUGUUAGGGCAGUUUCCCUUAAUAAACUCCGGGUAAACAUCAUGGAAAUUAGUCGAUAAAUAAUUUAAGGAAAAUUCAUAAGUCAUUCGAAUCCGGUUAACAAGGAAGGCGAGAUGAGCCACAGGCACGGUGUCCGGCCAGCAGGAGGAGCUCUUGAUACGUGAAACGGUGCCAGUGACUGAUCGAGCAAGAGACAGAGAGAGAGAGAAGGAAAGCAAGAGAGGCACUUCCAAGAAAUGAGUGCUAAAAGCUGUUUUGAAAGAAGACACCCUCCCUUAUCGGAGAGGUUUCGUAUGCAGCGGCUUUAGAGAACGGUCUGGGUGUUGUUCACAGCCUUUUGCUCUGGGUGUGCAUGCGGGAGGGAUACAGAAGAGCGAGGGAGACAGGUCGAGAGAGAGAAAAAGGGCAAAAACGGAUACAUGUCUGUGGCCAUUUCUCUUCGAUAUAAGAGGAAUUCAAACAAAUCCAGUGAUAAAUGGACUACAUAUGGCAGCCAUCAAUCCUGUCGCUGACUACAACUCCCAGAGUGCAACGCAUCACUGGUGCGAAGCAGGAGAUUACAUGCUCUGUAGAUCCAGGCACUUAAUUAAAGUAUUGCUCUGCAGCUGACAGACAGGCUUGGACACAAUGGGCUAAUACCUAAAAGAGCCAGCUAAUAAUUUACCUACCAAAUUAACUACAGUUACCUGUUGGGUUCUUUCACACAAGCUGUGACUCUGUGCAAUAUGCACACCUCGUAUUAAUUCCAACCAUCAAGAGCUCCACUGUGACUUCCUGAAAACAAAUUAAGACUCGGAGUAUAUUCAGAAUGGCAUGCCAGUUACUAUUAUUGACAGAAGGAAGUGUGCAGAGUGUAUGCUGUGCAUGGUAUGCAAAUGUUGCAAAUGCAUAGAAUACCAUUACGUUCUUCAUUUGCAAAAAUGCAUAUAGCCAAAGGACAGUGCUGAAUAAUGUAUACUGAAUAAUGCGAACAUUCUAUUUCCAGAGCGAUUAAUGAACAGGAAGUAAUAUUUUUAUGAUCUCCUGUUAACAUUUAAUACAGCUUAUUUAUUAUUAUUUAGAUUUUAACUGAAAGGCACUCACUGGAUUAAACAUAAAAUGUGAUGUAUUGUGUGAUAAUGUUUUAUUUUAUCUGCCUAUAUUAUAUUUACAUACUUUAUUUUAGGUUAAGGUCCAACUAGUAAACUGUAUGCAUCCAUGUAUCCAUUAUUAGUGCAUAUUGUUGUUUAAAUUUUUUUUUAUUUAGUUAUGCAUUAUAGUAGUAUCAGUAGUCUGAAGAAUAUGGCUGUUACUUUUGGCAUUUUGCAUACUGUUUGACAUACCAUUAAAAAAGAGUCUGUGGUAUACAGUUUAAACAGCACAGUAUGCUAGUAUUACAUUAACACAGUCUUAUGAGAAGAAUAGAAGAAGAGAAUCAAAAUGGAUAUUGAAAAUUGUCAUGACAGGGGUGUGACGGUGUGUAAUCUUGCCUCAUGUUACAGUCUGUACUCGGCAGAUGUUUUAACAAAAGCUUCUGACCCUAUUAAGCAAAGAAGAGUAUAUUUUGGUAAACUGGAGAAGGCACGUUUCAAUGUGUUUUCUUCUAGAAAUGUGAACAUCCGGCUGACUCACUGACAGAGAUUCACCAAUCUGAUUUGCAUGGAUGAAAUGACAGAUGAAAAACCAAACAAACCAACUCUUUCUCUCUGGAAAAUAAUCAUAUGUUUAUGUACACUCAGCGAUGUAGACUCAAGUACUUCAAAUGGCAAGCAAAUCAAUAUCUCAGCGUAUCCAAUUAAGCAACAAGAAAAUGAGCAGACUCUUUUUUUUUUUUUUUUUAUUGGAUCAACAGUUAUCGCUAUUAUUUUCUGUAAUUUCCAUGCAGUUAAUGUUAAGAUACUUUGCACAGUUUGUCAGUGUACAUUGUUAUAUAUAAGGGAUUUAAUCUCUGGACUGAUUUAGUUCAGUCUAGCUUGGUGUGAAGUGCACUCUCUCUUUCUUUCUCUGUAUGAGUUUGUUACACCUGUAAAAUUGAGCUGAAUGGAAGGUUCAUUCUACUCAUAUAACCUCCUACAAUGCCGGAUACACAGAAGGUGUGUUCCAUAUAUAUUAGAUGUAUUAUCUCUCAUAAUGCCCAGUGUUGUCUUGUAAUUGCCAUGUUGUGAAUUGUCCAGACGCAGUGGAGGUUGCCUGAUCUGUUCUUUACUGUGUGUGACUGUGUUGUCAGACCAUCCAUUGCAUUUGUCAUAUGAUUUUAGACUUGAUAUAAAUCUACUUUUCAAAAAAAGCUCUGUUCCAAAACCUA